AGAGUUUGAUCAUGGCUCAGGAUGAACGCUGGCGGCGUGCCUAAUACAUGCAAGUCGAGCGGUAAGGCUUCUUCGGAAGUACACGAGCGGCGGACGGCUGAGUAACACGUAGGAACGUACCCCAAACUGAGGGAUAACUGCUCGAAAGAGUAGCUAAUACCGCAUGUGCUCCAAGGAGUAAAGCUUCGGCGGUUUGGGAACGGCCUGCGUCCGAUUAGCUUGUUGGUGAGGUAAUGGCUCACCAAGGCGACGAUCGGUAGCUGGUCUGAGAGGAUGAUCAGCCAGACUGGGACUGAGAACGGCCCAGACUCCUACGGGAGGCAGCAGUAGGGAAUUUUCCACAAUGGGCGAAAGCCUGAUGGAGCAACGCCGCGUGCAGGAUGAAUGCCUUCGGGUUGUAAACUGCUUUUAUCGGGAAAGAAACACUGUCGGCUAAUACCCGGCGGGACUGACGGUACCCGAUGAAUAAGCACCGGCUAACUCCGUGCCAGCAGCCGCGGUAAUAC
rnacentral:rRNA from 1 species